CCGUGCUAGAUGGGGAGGCAGCGGUGCCCUAUAACCUGCAAUCCGCUACAGCAGGAUUGAAUUCCCAGCCUAGGCUUCUUAUUGUAAGGUCUGACCUAGAUAAGUGGCAGUGACGAUUGGGUCCUGCGCAACGGAAACUCAUGAACCCCGUCAGAUCCGGAAGGAAGCAGCGGUAAGUGAAUAUUUUCGUGUGCCGCGGGGAAACCUGAUCUGAGUUAACUGUCUAGGUAACGCUUGGAAUAGGAUUGUCAAAGCUGGGUGCACGG
rnacentral:SRP_RNA from 1 species